UACGGGGGGGGCAAGCGUUGUUCGGAAUUACUGGGCGUAAAGGGCUCGUAGGCGGCCAACUAAGUCCGACGUGAAAUCCCCAGGCUUAACCUGGGAACUGCAUCGGAUACUGGUUGGCUUGAAUCCGGGAGAGGGAUGCAGAAUUCCAGGUGUAGCGGUGAAAUGCGUAGAUAUCUGGAGGAAUACCGGUGGCGAAGGCGGCAUCCUGGACCGGCAUUGACGCUGAGGAGCGAAAGCUAGGGGAGCAAACGGG
rnacentral:rRNA from 1 species